AGGACCAGUAAGCCAGGCUUUUGUGUACCAUACAGAAGAGUCUGAAUGCCACUCUGAAGGCAGUAAGAGCUCCUGAGGGAUUUUAAGCAAGCGUCAUCAUCACAGGCAAGAAGAAAUUCACAACCCCAGUUUAAUCAUGAGGAAAACAUCAGGACCAUUCUACAAAAUAUCUGAUACCCCUCAAACCGUCAUGGUCAUCAAAAACAAGGAACAUCUGAGAAACCGUCAGAACCAAAAGGAACCUAAGACAAUUGGACAACUAAGUGUAACAUGACAGCAAUGGAUGGGAUUCUGGGACAGAAAAAGGACAUUAGGUUAAAAAAAUAAUAAUAAUAAUAAUAAAGAAAAGUGUUCCAUGAAAGCAGCAGCCAUUUCAACUUAAAACUCAAUCACACAGUAUGUGACUGAAAUAAGAAGAGCACUUGGACCAGGAGAUAACAGCAAACUUUAUAUCCUCUAUGAGUGCCUGGCAGUGAGGCAUACCAAUGACUGCUAGCACAUUUUGGUGCCACAGCCUUGAUUUCUACUGAACAACUGGGAGUAUUACCCACCAUUGGUCUUUGUAUACCACCAGUGGGGUGAAGAAGGCAGAUGAUAUCUUUGUCAGAAGGAAGGAUUUUAACCUUGUGAACUCCCUAAAAGGAUCUGUGUCUCCAAGUUUCCAUAACCCACUGCUGAGUUAAGCCAAUAUAUUCCAUUUCAUUUACCAAUUAGUUCUGGAUUAGGUAUGUGACAUAAUUCUAGCCGAAAAGCCAAUGGGGCCUCUGGGAAGGUUUCUUUCUUCUAAUAAGACAUAUGGAAACAAAUUUCCGUUUUCUGCCUCUGGACUUUGUCUU